CAGGGUCAGCAGGUUAGUUGUUAUCCGGGUCAGCAGGUUAGUUGUAAUCAGUGUGCAGCAGGUUAGUUGUUAUCAGGGUCAGCAGGUUAGUUGUUAUCAGGGUCAGCAGGUUAGUUGUUAACGGGUCAGCAGUUUAGUUGUUACAGGGUCAGUAGGUUAGUUGUUUAACAGGGUCAGCAGUUAGUUGUUAUCCGGGUCAGCAGGUUAGUUGUUAUCAGGGUCAGCUGGUUAGUUGUUAACAGGGUCAGCAGGUUAGUUGUUAUCAGAGUCAGCAGGUUAGUUGUUAUCAGGGUGAGCAGGUUAGUUGUUAUCAGAGUCAGCAGGUUAGUUGUUAACAGGGUCAGCAGGUUAGUUGUUAACAGGGUCAGCAGGUUAGUUGUUAUCAGGGUCAGCAGGUUAGUUGUUAUCAGGGUCUCAGGUUAGUUGUUAUCAGAGUCAGCAGGUUAGUUGUUAACAGGGUCAGCGAGGUUAGUUGUUAUCAGGGUCAGCAGGUUAGUUGUUAUCAGGGUCAGCGGUUAGUUGUUAACAGGGUCCGAAGGUUAA
rnacentral:lncRNA from 1 species